rnacentral:rRNA from 1 species
AGCGAACGUUUGCGGCGGGCUUAACACAUGCAAGUCGAACGGGCUGUUCCUUCGGGGGCAGUCAGUGGCGCACGGGUGCGUAACACGUAGGUAAUCAACCCUCUGGUUGGGGAUAACACUUCGAAAGGAGUGCUAAUACCCGGUAUGGCGCAGCGGUCUUCGGAUCGCGGCGAGAAAGACCCGCAAGGGUUGCCAGAGGACGAGCCUGCGGCCCAUCAGCUAGUUGGCGAGGUAACGGCUCACCAAGGCGAAGACGGGUAGCUGGUCUGAGAGGAUGAUCAGCCACACUGGAACUGAGACACGGUCCAGACUCCUACGGGAGGCAGCAGUGGGGAAUAUUGCGCAAUGGGCGAAAGCCUGACGCAGCCACGCCGCGUGAGCGACGAAGGCC